UGGGCCCAACGAGGACAUAGGGAAUUUAAGAACGGGAGAUUGUGAUACCCCAUAUGAUAAGAGGAUAAGGUAAGUGGUGUAUAAGAUCUCACAUUGCUUGGGAAUGAGAAGUUCUUCCUCUUUAUAAUGAUCCAAUGGGGCUCUAAUUGUAUCAUUGACUAGUCCUUUUGGAAUAUAGGUCAUGUGGUUUGGCCAUUCCAUUAGGGCAUUAGAAAAGCAAAUUCUCUCUCA